UGCUCUUGGGCAUCGCGUACGUGAUGACGCGUGAGUGGUGUUUGACGUGUAUGGGCAUGUUGGAUCCCUGCUCGGGCAGCGACGACAUCUCCUCCACGUCUCUUCAAUUUUUGGCGCGAGCGUUUGCUCGGCCGACGUCGGUUUCCUGUGUUGAAUACCUAUUGCGACGGCAUUGUGUCGGCUACGUUUGUUCCGUUCCCACCUUGUUCCGCUGCUCCACGUGGGCGUGCGGUGCGGGGCGGGCCAAAUCGCACGCGUCGUGUGUCGCACCGUGUUCGUCCCCU
rnacentral:lncRNA from 1 species